UAUUACUAAGCGGAGGAAAAGAAACUAACCAGGAUUCCCUCAGUAGCGGCGAGUGAAGCGGGAAAAGCCCAUCGCCGAAUCCCCGCGUCCAAGUGGCGUGCGGGAAAUGUGGCGUAAGGAAGCCGUGGCUAACCGGGGACGUGGAGCCGACGUCCUUGUGAAGGAGGCCCUCAUCCUAUAGAGUGUGUUAGGCCCCCGCAGGCGCCCGUCGCCGGUAGCCUUCAGGCUUUCAAGAGUCGGGUUGUUUUGGAAUGCAGCCCAAAGACGGGUGGUAAACUCCAUCCAAGGCUAAAUACUAGGCACGAGACCGAUAGAUAACAAGUACCAUGAGGGAAAGUUGAAAAGAACUUUGAAGAGAGAGUUCAAUAGGACGUGAAGCUGCCGAGAAGUAAACGGAAGGGCCCCGCACACCGUGGCCGGGAGAUUCAGCGCAGGGUGAGGCUUCGGCGCCCCGCACCGUCUGUGGAUUCCACUCUGGNAACCCUGGCGGAUCGGGUCNAUGCAGCCGCCCGUCGCGCGCAUUUCUCCCGUGCCUCUGGGGUUGGCGACCGACCGUUGAUCGGCCGAUUGGACGCGGCGAAAGCAGGUAUCUCGUUUGGC
rnacentral:rRNA from 1 species